UGGUGACUGUGGCGGUGUAGGUUGAAGUAGCGGUGGAGGAGGAUGAGGUAGCCAACACUGUUUUUUACAUAUAUAUAUAUUUUUUUUUUUUAAUUGGGGUAGCCCCCAAAAUAUUGGGACAUAUAAAAAAAGAAAAACUCUGUUCCACAAAGUAGCUGAUGACAUUAUAGUUGCGCAGGCACUUUGUUGACUCUAGAGAACCUCAGGCCAAUCGCACAUUCCCGUGACGGCAACUUUGCAUUCGGAUGUCAUCCAUAUCAACUUUCAAUGCCAGUGUCUGCACCUACCAUGGUGACCACAGGUAACAGGGAAUCAGGGUUCCAUUCCGUACAGGGACCCUGAGAAACAGCUACCACAUGAAAGGAAGGCAGCAGGCACGCAAAUGACCCACUCCCGACACGGGAAGGUAGUGACGACAAAUAACAAUACAGGACUCUUUAGAGUCCACUUGAAAUCCUUUAACUCUGAUCAAUUGGAGGGAAGUCUGGUGCAGAGCCACUGACCCGUGCGUCUUGCAGCUGAAACUCCACU